AUCGAACGCUGGCGGCAGGCUUAACACAUGCAAGUCGAGCGAGCGGCGGACGGGUGAGUAAUGGCUGGGAAACUGCCUGAUGGAGGGGGAUAACUACUGGAAACGGUAGCCAAUACCGCAUACCAUCAGAUGUGCCCAGAUGGGAGUAGCUAGUAGGUGGGGUAAUGGUUCACCGAGGCGACGAUCCCUAGCUGGUCUGAGAGGAUGACCAGCAACACGGGAACUGAGACACGGUCCAGACUCCUACGGGAGGCAGCAGUGGGUAAUAUUGCACAAUGGGCGCAAGCCUGAUGCAGCCAUGCCGGGUGUGUGAAGAAGGCCUUGGGGUGGUAAAGUACGUUCAGCGGGGAGGCGUUACUCGCAGAAGAAGCACCGGCUAACUCCGUGCCAGCAGCCGCGGUAAUAC
rnacentral:rRNA from 1 species